rnacentral:rRNA from 1 species
CGGGUGAGUAAUACAUCGGAACGUGUCUUCUAGUGGGGGAUAACUGCCCGAAAGGGCAGCUAAUACCGCAUGAGACCUGAGGGUGAAAGCGGGGGAUCGUAAGACCUCGCGCUGGAAGAGCGGCCGAUGUCCGAUUAGCUAGUUGGUGAGGUAAAGGCUCACCAAGGCGACGAUCGGUAGCUGGUCUGAGAGGACGACCAGCCACACUGGGACUGAGACACGGCCCAG